GAUGAACGCUGGCGGCGUGCCUAAUACAUGCAAGUCGAGCGAACGGACGAGAAGCUUGCUUCUCUGAUGUUAUCGGCGUACGGGUGAGUAACACGUGGAUCACCUACCUAUAAGACUGGGAUAACUUCGCCAAACCGGCGCUCAUACCGGCUAAUAUUUUGAACCGCAUGCUUCAAACGUGCAAGACGGUCUUGCUGUCACUUCUCGAUGUAUCCGCGCUGCCUUAGCUAGUUGGUAAGGUAACGGCUUACCAAGGCAACGAUGCCUAGCCGACCUGAGAGGGGGAAAGACCACACUGGAACAGAGACACGGGCGAGACGCCUACGGGAGGGAGCAGUGGGGAAUGUUAAGGAAGGGGAGAAAGAAUGACGGAGCAACGCGGAGUGGGGGAUGAAGGACGGCGGAUCGUAAAACUAUGUUAUGAGGGAAGAAGAUAUGUGGAAGUAGCUGUGGAGAUAUAGACGGUACGUAAUCAGAAAGCCAAGGCUAACUACGU
rnacentral:rRNA from 1 species